UACGUAGGGUGCAAGCGUUGUUCGGAAUUACUGGGCGUAAAGGGCGCGUAGGCGGCCUGCUAAGUCGAACGUGAAAUCCCUGGGCUCAACCCAGGAACUGCGUCCGAUACUGGUUGGCUUGAAUCCGGGAGAGGGAUGCGGAAUUCCAGGUGUAGCGGUGAAAUGCGUAGAUAUCUGGAGGAACACCGGUGGCGAAGGCGGCAUCCUGGACCGGCAUUGACGCUGAGGCGCGAAAGCCAGGGGAGCAAACGGG
rnacentral:rRNA from 1 species